rnacentral:rRNA from 1 species
AUGCCAGAUGCAAUGGUCCACCAUGGAUUUUAUUCUGCAUAUUAUAAUACAACUCUGCGGCAUGAGAUCCUGAAAUCUGUUCAGUGGGCAUGGAAGGCAUAUGGAAGACUACCCAUAAAUGUUGUAGGUCACUCUAUGGGAGGGGCUUUAGCUUCAUUUUGUGCCCUUGAUCUCUCUGUUAAAUGGGGGUCACACAAAGUUCAGCUCAUAACUUUUGGACAGCCUCGGGUAGGCAAUCCUGCUUUUGCUGAAUACUUCAACGAGCAGGUUCCAAGAACAAUCCGCGUGACCCAUGAAAAUGACAUUGUUCCACAUUUGCCACCAUACUUUUAUUACCUAGGCGAAUGGACAUAUCACCACUUUGCAAGAGAGGUUUGGCUUCGUGAGACCAUAGUAGGAAAUGUGGUUACAAGGAAUGAGAUAGUCUGCGAUUGUUCAGGCGAGGACCCAACCUGCAGCAGAUCGGUCUACGGGAGAAGUGUGGCAGAUCAUCUCGAGUAUUAUGGUGUUAACCUACAUGCUGAUUCAAGGGGAACCUGUCAAUUUGUGAUUGGCGCAUCCAACUCAGCCUAUGGUGACAUUCUUCAAGUUGAUGGAGCUAUCAUCUUAUCAAGAUAUCCACAGGAGCGAUAUCCCGUGGAAUCUAUCUAA